UGGGGAAUAUUGGACAAUGGAGGCAACUCUGAUCCAGCAAUUCUGUGUGUGUGAAGAAGGUUUUAGGACUGUAAAACACUUUUAGUAGGGAAGAAAGAAAUGACGGUACCUACAGAAGAAGCGACGGCUAAAUACGUGCCAGCAGCCGCGGUAUACGUAUGUCGCGAGCGUUAUCCGGAAUUAUUGGGCUUAAAGGGCAUCUAGGCGGUUAAACAAGUUGAAGGUGAAAACCUGUGGCUCAACCAUAGGCUUGCCUACAAAACUGUAUAACUAGAGUACUGGAAAGGUGGGUGGAACUACACGAGUAGAGGUGAAAUUCGUAGAUAUGUGUAGGAAUGCCGAUGAUGAAGAUAACUCACUGGACAGCAACUGACGCUGAAGUGCGAAAGCUAGGGGAGCAAACAGG
rnacentral:rRNA from 1 species